AUGGUGAACCGGCCCCGCACCGACGGCGCGUACCCGGUCCGGAGGGCCGUGACCCUGGUGGAGUCCGGGGGUGACCUCAAGGCCCCGGGGGAGUCCCUGCGGCUCCUCUGCCGCGCCUCCGGCUUCACCUUCGCCAACUACCACAUGUUCUGGGUGCGCCAGAGCCCCGGGAAGGGGCUGGAGUGGGUCAGUGGGAUCGACACUGAUGGUGACACCGACUACGCGCCGUCGGUGCGGGGCCGGUUCACCAUGGCCAGGGACAACGACCAGGCCACGGUGACGCUGCAGAUGAACAACCUCAGGGAGGAGGAUUCCAACACCUAUUUCUGCGCCAAAACUGGUGUUGCUGGUGGUGGUUUGGGUCAUGGUAUCGACGGUUGAUAUUUCGGGUCAACGGUUGAC